CGAAAAGUCAUAAAACCAAAAACCAUUCUCUCUCGCUCGCUCACUCACAUAAUUCAGACUCCCCUCGCAAAACCCAAAAUCAUAAAACGACAAAAAACCAACCCCUAACCCUAGAUUUUCCUGAUGGCCAGCGAAGCCCAAGACUCGCAUCGCAAGCACCGCCGGGCCUCUUCCUCCGAUGACGAGGCCGAGAAGUCGUCGAAGCGCCACAAGCACCGUCACCACCAUCGCCACCACCGUCACCGUCAUGGCAGCAAAAAGCGCGAAGGCGAUAUCAAGCCGGCCGUUGACGAUAUUGAAGCUCCUCUGGCGGCUGUUCUGUUAUCUUCUUCAGGUGCCAAUAGUUCUAGGCCAGAUGAAGACGUGGAGGAAGGCGAAAUUCUUGAGGAGGAGGGUGUCGGUAGUCACGACGACGGCGUCUUGAAGACGACAGCCGGCUCUGAUGCCGAGUCUGGUGAAAUUGAGGCUCUUGGAGUUCGCGAUCAGUCUGAUAAUCGAAAUCUGGGAAUUUUUGUCGAUAACAUUGAUAAUAAUUCAAAAACCAUGAGAGAGCACUGUAGUGACGAUGAUACUCGAAUUCAUGUUGGUGGUAAGUCUCGGGAUGAGACUGGGUUGCCUAGACAUUCCAGUAUUGAGCCUCAAGAUGAUUUAGCUUCCAGAUUAGGCAUAGAGGAUCAUGCCAAUGGCAAUUCCCACCGGUUUCACAAAGAGGAGAAGAGGCGGCACAGGGAAUCUGGGUUGCCUUCUAAAGAAAGUGAUAAGCGAAAGCAUUACUAUGAUGAUGAAAAAGUGGAUGAUGAUAGAAGCAAAGUAGCUAAUCGAAAAAAGCCAUCCUCUGGAAGUAGUGGAGACAAGCACAAGACCUUGGUACGUUCACCAUCUCGUGAUAGGUGCGGGGAUGAUUUAUAUGGUAGGAGCAGAUCGAGGUCAUAUGAUCAUGUGAGGGAGAGAUCAUGCUCCCGCAGUAGAGUAGAAGAGGAGGCCCUUUCUAAAAGGAGACGUUAUCAUGAACGAGACACUGCAGUAUCUGUAGAGAAAAGUAAGGCUACGUUUGACUCUGGUGAUGAAGGAAUGGUUCGGAGGCAUGAUAGUGACGAUUUGGCUAGGGAUGAUGAACGAGAACAGAGUAUUAGUUAUAGCAGAUACUCUGUAUCCGAUCGUAGCAGAGAGAGAGAGAGGAGUAGGGAGAGGGAGGUAGAUAGGAUUCAGAGAAGGGAGAAAGAACAAGAAAGGAGCAGAAAUAGGGAUCGGAGAAGGGAUGGAGAAAGAGAAAGGAGUAGUGACAGGGAUUUGGUUAGGGACAGGAAAAGGGGAAUUGGACGAGACGAUAGCAGGGAAAGGAGAAGAGAAGAGCGACAUAGGAGCAGAGACACGGAGAACAGGGACAGAAAAACGGAGGAAGAAAACGAUAGGAGCAGGGACCGGAUCAAGGCUGAUAGGGACAGAGAUAUGGAGAGGGAUCGAGAUAGGGACAGAGUUACAGACCGGAAAUGGGAGAGGCGAGAUGAUAGAGACAGGGAUAAGGGUCGAGAUAUGGAGAGGGAGAAAUAUGAAAAUCUUGAAGACAGCUAUGGAAAUCGAGAUAGGAAUAAACAUUCUGGUCGAUCAAGACAUGAUGAAAAAGAAUACAACCAGGACAGAACAAGAAAAACUGAUCCAGCAAAGGUUCAGAGUUCAAACAGUUAUGCUGCAGAAGGGAUUGAAGACAGACCAAAAAGAGGUGAAGAUGAACAAGAAGACAAUGAAGAGAGGGCCACUUUUCAAUUUGCUGAGCAGGAAGAGGAAGAUCUGAACAGGAUCAAGGAGGAGAGUCGAAGAAGAAGGCAAGCAAUCUUAGAAAAAUACAGAAAUCAGCAGUCACAGCAAACAAAUGAGUUACAAAAAACUGAGUCACAGUUACAACAACGAAUUGAGCCUCAGCCUCUUUUGGAGGGUGUGGAGAAAGACAAAGAUCCUCAAGAUCAUGCGACCGAAUCAGCUGGUGUUGCCAAAUCUGGUGCAGAAACUGAUGAUGGCAGGAGUGAUGAAGAUGUGUCUCUUGCUGUAUUUUCAAUUUCACCUCAGCAGAAUGGUGAUGUUGCUUCUAGGAUGACGUCUGGUGCCACUGGGCUUGGAGAGGGUACUCCAAAGAGUGAAAGAUCUGAUGUCAUUUUCUGUGAUGAUAUCUUUGGUGAGACCCCAGUUGGAGUUAGAAAAUUGGGCAAAGGAGAUGGUGUUCGAAUUGAAAGGAGUGGUCUUCAUGACAACUGGGAUGAUGCAGAAGGGUACUACAGCUACCGGUUUGGGGAACUACUUGAUGCCCGAUAUGAAAUUACUGCUGCUCACGGAAAGGGUGUCUUUUCAACCGUAGUUCGUGCAAAGAACCUUAAAGUUGGUAACGGUGAACCCGAUGAAGUGGCAAUUAAGAUUAUACGUAGCAAUGACACUAUGUACAAGGCUGGUAUGACGGAGUUGGCCAUAUUGAAGAAAUUAGUAGGUCAAGAUCCAGAAAAUAAGCGCCACUGUGUUCGUUUUCUAUCAAAUUUCAAGUAUCGAAAUCAUCUUUGUUUAGUUUUUGAAUCUCUUCAUAUGAAUCUCCGUGAGGUCUUAAAGAAGUUUGGGCGCAAUAUUGGUCUUAAGCUAACUGCUGUGAGAGCAUAUGCCAAGCAACUUUUUAUUGCACUGAAGCAUCUUAAAAACUGUGGUGUUCUUCAUUGUGAUAUAAAGCCAGAUAACAUGCUGGUAAAUGAGGCUAAAAAUGUGCUGAAGCUUUGUGAUUUCGGUAAUGCCAUGUUUGCUGGAAAGAACGAAGUUACACCGUACUUAGUCAGCCGCUUUUACCGUGCCCCUGAAAUAAUUCUUGGCUUGUCUUAUGAUCAUCCAUUGGAUAUCUGGUCAGUUGGUUGCUGUUUGUACGAACUCUCUACCGGAAAAGUUCUUUUUCCUGGUGCUACAAACAAUGAUAUGCUACGUCUUCACAUGGAAUUGAAAGGCCCAUUCCCAAAGAAGAUGCUUCGGAAGGGAGCAUUUACCCAUCAACAUUUUGAUCAGGAUCUGAACUUCCAUGCCACAGAAGAUGAUCCUGUUACAAAGAAGACUAUCAAACGGGUGAUUCUCAAUAUAAAGCCAAAAGAUAUUGGAUCGAUUAUUACAGGUUCUUCUGGUGAGGAUCCAAAGAUGUUAGCUGAUUUUAAAGAUCUUUUAGAUAAAAUGUUUGUGUUGGAUCCAGACAAGAGGUUGACAGUAUCACAAGCUUUGAGCCAUCCAUUCAUCACUGGCAAGUGAACCCUGUUGCUGAUUUUCUGACUCCAGAAUUCCUGUUCCGCUAGAUAUUUGUACAUUUUGACCUAAUUCAUACAGUUUCUAAUCAUUGGGCAUUAUCUCUCUUCUCUGUGAUGGCCUGAGAGCUUUGACACAGUUUUGGCAUGGUUGAAGUCAAAAGGGGUGAUGUUUGGUCAGGAGUACUCAUUACUGGCGGGUUCUUUCAGUGGAGUGUACUGUUUCUAUUGAUAUGUGCCAUUGCUUUGAGGCAACACUCCAGUGCUUAGAUGCUUAAAAGGAACCCAGGAGAAGGUACCUUGGUUUGUUUAUUGGGAGAAUAUUGUGAGGGACUUGAAAGUAGAUGUCACUGUGUUGCAUGAUUUGUCUUUAUGUUGUUCCUACAUAAAAGCUUCUUUGUAAACUUGGAAAUUUAUUCAAACUGAAUCUAACAGUGUCACUGCCAUAGAUUUGAUAACU